rnacentral:lncRNA from 10 species
GUAAUCUUGGUUAACCUGAAAAAAAUCACAGGGCAGAUGAGUAGGCAAGAAUGCACUUCAUCACUCUUGCUCUCAGAGAGAAGGAAAGAGAGCUGGAAAUGCCCUUGGAAAGCAGCCUCCACAGCUACCUGGGUCAUCUAAAUUUGCUACAUUCCAAAGGAAUGACUGCAUCCGAGUGUGAUUUUCAUCCGCGCUUGGGAAAAUCCCCCUGAAGGAACCUGACACUUUUAAUCUAAACUCUGGGCAAACUAGCUGCUACUGCAUCUGAAUGAUUUGCAAGCAAAUGAUCCUACUCUCUGAAGCUUAUGAUUUCAUUUUAUUUUAUGUUUAUUUUCCCUCUCUGAAUGAAAAGUACCACAUUAGGAAGUCAGUGUUUGUGUGUGUGAUUUUUGUUUUACUUGGUUUUGUUUUUAUUCUCAAAUGAAAGUACCCUGCCAGUAAUCACUGGUGUUUUGGGAAGACAACCAGUAGCAGUGCUGGCUCCCUAUCUUGGAGUGGAUGGGCUUUAUGUCCAGGCAGCCAUCUGUGGGAGUGGUAGCCUGGAGCCAGGUCUUGGAGCUACCUGUGCAUGAUUUGGCUUUGUCUGCCCUUCUACUUUUGGAACAGCCACUUCCUUUAACCAGGCCCAGAUUGCUUCCACCAGGAAUGCUGAACCUGCAAUUGUUUGAAGAAAAGGGGUGGCUGGCAAGAUGGCUGAAUAGGAACAGCUCUGGUCUGCAGCUCCCAGAGAGAUCAACGCAGAAGGUUAGUCACAACUGAAUCUUUCAGAGGAGGAAAGAGCAGACACUAGGCACAGAACAAAGAGCAAAUGAAACAGGAACUGUGGAAUAACACUGUGUUCCCAAAGAAAACAUAACUGCCAUAGAUCACAGAAUGAAAGCCCCAGAGCACGCAGCAGAGAAGUCCAGCAACAGGAGUCAACAUUUACAGAAAACCCUGUAGGAAGACUGUGGCACUACCAACUGAUCAACAUGUUACAGAACUCAUUUUAUACUGCAGCCAGGCUGAGGAGGGCCCAUCACCUGCACAUAAAUAUUUGGACAGUGGCGACAACUUGAAGACAGCUAGCUGCAGAGUGAUAUUCCAGAAUAAGAGUUUUGAAGCUCCAGAUGACUAGCUGACCUGGGUAUUAAUGCUGGAUAUAGCAACGUCCUUCUAUGUCCUUCUAAAUUUUCUUCAUGAGUAGUGAUAAGUUAUGCUGAGAAAAAUUCUUGAACCUACAGUUAUACAACAUUGUUCUUGCCGCCUUUCAAAAAUGGACAAUGUCUCCCAUAUGGAAUAUCUACUGAUGAUCUUGCAAGAAGGUGAAUAAAAAAUCCAAUGAAGACAUAAAACGAGUUUCAUUUAAAAAAUCUGGUAAAAUGGAAGUUUGCUUUACACAAACAGUAAAGAAGCCUUGGAAGAUAAUGUUGACUUCCCAUGCUCAAAAGUACUCUGACUCAGGAAGAUAGCUCCAGCCCUUCAAAGGAAGGGCUGUCUGCAAUAAAUGCCCAUGGAGACCUCUCAGCAAUUCCAUAAGAUAAGUGAAUUGGCUUAAAUCAAAUGUUUUGCAGUUCCAUUUACAGAGCAUUUACUGGCCAUCGUGUACUACUCAAGUUACUAGAACACUAAGUUGACUCAUGCUUGGAAAUACUGGUUUUAUGUUGCUAUCAGAGUAUUGUCAUAAAUCCACCCACAAUUACAAAGAGUCCUACUCUGCUGCUGUAGCUACCUUUAACUCCUUGCCCUCAGCAAAUUGUAUGCCUAGGGAGAUGGACUACUUCGGCCUUGAGAAAUUUCCAAUUAGGUCAUUUUGAGAAGCAGUCUGGAUGUGUGGUCUGAAAUAGCAUUUCCAGUUUUUGCCUAUUUUUAUUUUUGAGAACUGCUUGCAAAUAAAUGCCACUGAGUUUGUUAGGAAGAGGUUACUCUUUACUACCUUUGGGAAUUGUGCCUUACCCUUAGGUUGCACAGCUUCUAUUUUCUGAGUCCCUUCUGAUUUUCUCAUAUGGUUGCUGCAAAUUGCAAAAUCAUUGUAAGCUUCUGUUUCUUCACUAGCAAAAUGAGAAAUAGUAACACACCUAGGGAUUGGGAGGAUGAACUGAGGAAAUAUAGCCAUUGGAUUAUUUUUAUAAGGCCCCUACAAAUUGAUGGCAAAAAAAGACCUGGCCCUUUGAAAGAGCAUCCCAUCUCCUCAAAUGUGUACUAGUGAGUUUACAAGAGGCUAUAAUGACAGCUGAAGUUAUCCUUGUUCAAGUAUAAAUAUGGACUUGGAAAAAUAAGUCAGGAAUCUAUGGAACUGCAUUGAAAACUCAGCUGUGCAUUGCUUAGUCACAUAGGAAACACGGUAAGGAAAUGCAAUGUGAUCAGAUCAGCUUAACCCCUAGAGUGCAAGCUGGAUACGGGAGCAGGGCAGUAAAACCAGGAAAACUGAGGGGAUGGUAGCCUUUUAGGAGAAAAAUAUAAGAGGAAAAACAAAUCUAGGAAAGAAAAAUAUGAAGCAGAGAAAAGGCUGUGAAAAGAAAGAGAAAAAUCAGUCUAAGAAGCCAAGAUAUUUGAGUAGCAGGCAGUGUUUUGAAUGUGCAAUGAUGACAAAUAAUCCCAAAGAUGGAUGUGUGUCACACGCUGGAGAGCAGUGACAGUGAGAAGAUGAGAUGUCUCUAAGGCAGACCUUGGUUUAAAUCUCAAGUCUGUGGCUUAUUAACUUUGCAGUGUCAAGCAACUUACUUCAUUCUUCUGAGACUCAUCUGUAAAAUAUGGAUAAUUACUGUAUUUCUGCACUGUUGUGAAUAUUUUAGUUAAUAUAUGCAUAUUUGUCCCUAGCAAAAUGCAAUGAGUAACAGUUAUUAGUUAGUCUAAAGAGGAAAUAAAGGGAGGGACAACUAAGAGUAAAGUUGUCCACUUUCUACUUCAGCUCUCCCCUCCAAGGGAAAAGGUGAUAUGUUGGUGCUAAGUCUGACUGAAGGCAUCUGGGUCACAUGUACCUAUGAGAGUCCCUGACUAGAAUCUAGUUGUUUCCUGCAAUAAUAUCAUAUGUAUUAGAGCAGGUUGUUCAACAGAGUAAUAUGUGUGGUUAUUUAAAUUUAAACUAAAAGUUAAAAUAUGCUUUGUUUCAAUAGCUACAUUUCAAAUAAUCAACAGCCACAUGGCUGGUAGGCAGCAUACACACACACACACACACACACACACACACACACAUAUAUUUACAUAUAUGCUGUGCAUAUAUAUGCAUAUCUUUGUGUAUGUAUGUGUAUUUCUGUCAUCACAAAAAGUUCUAUUGUCUGACCUUGCUUGACUACGGUGGAUUAUGUGGCCAAAAAAAAAGUAAUUCCGUAAGUCAAGAAAGUGGGCAAAGAUUGAGGAGAGAAAUUAGAAUAGGAAGAUAGGGCUUCUGCUGAGGGAAGCCCUUCUCUUUUUAAAAAAUACCUGAGGUGAUGGCAGUAGAAAGGAGUGCUUAAGAUUAGAAAGGUGAGUUAACCAUAAACUGUGAUGUCUAUGGCCUGGGGCAAGGAUGAAAGGAUUGCAGCCACACUUGAAAUUUGCUCUAGGAGUGGUAUUGUGGUCCCAGAAAACCUAUUACAUGGUGACUAACAUGGAGA